rnacentral:rRNA from 1 species
ACGAACGCUGGCGGCGUGCUUAACCCAUGCCAGUCGCACGGAAAGGCCCUGCUUUUGUGGGGUGCUCGCGUGGCGAACGGGUGAGUAACACGUGAGUAACCUGCCCUUGACUUUGGGAUAACUUCAGGAAACUGGGGCUAAUACCGGAUAGGAGCUCCUGCUGCAUGGUGGGGGUUGGAAAGUUUCGGCGGUUGGGGAUGGACUCGCGGCUUAUCAGCUUGUUGGUGGGGUAGUGGCUUACCAAGGCUUUGACGGGUAGCCGGCCUGAGAGGGUGACCGGCCACAUUGGGACUGAGAUACGGCCCAGACUCCUGCGGGAGGCAGCAGUGGGGAAUAUUGCACAAUGGGCGGAAGCCUGAUGCAGCAACGCCGCGUGCGGGAUGACGGCCUUCGGGUUGUAAACCGCUUUCGCCUGUGACGAAGCGUGAGUGACGGUAAUGGGUAAAGAAGCACCGGCUAACUACGUG